UAGCGUAAAUUGGCCAAGGAUGGCCAAUUUAGCCACUUCGAAACAGGACGUUUCGUAUUGGCGGCGCGU
rfam:Kangiella koreensis DSM 16069, complete genome.